GAUGAACGCUGGCGGCGUGCUUAACACAUGCAAGUCGAACGAAGCAUUUAAGACAGAUUACUUCGGUUUGAAGUCUUUUAUGACUGAGUGGCGGACGGGUGAGUAACGCGUGGGUAACCUGCCUCAUACAGGGGGAUAGCAGCUGGAAACGGCUGUUAAUACCGCAUAAGCGCACAGUACCACAUGGUACAGUGUGAAAAACUCCGGUGGUAUGAGAUGGACCCGCGUCUGAUUAGCUUGUUGGCGGGGUAACGGCCCACCAAGGCGACGAUCAGUAGCCGACCUGAGAGGGUGACCGGCCACAUUGGGACUGAGACACGGCCCAGACUCCUACGGGAAGCAGCAGUGGGGAAUAUUGCACAAUGGAGGAAACUCUGAUGCAGCGACGCCGCGUGAGUGAAGAAGUAGUUCGCUAUGUAAAGCUCUAUCAGCAGGGAAGAUAGUGACGGUACCUGACGAAGAAGCUCCGGCUAAAUACGUG
rnacentral:rRNA from 1 species